AACGGGGCGUCCACCCCAAGGUCCCCUGACACGGUCUGCACUGAGGUCACCAGCAAAGGCCAAGACAGCAAGGCCAGGCCCCAAAGAUGGAAGCUACAGGGAGGCCAGUUUAGACUUGAUUGAAGCCAACAGGAUUCCAAAUUGAUGUAGUGGAAGAGGUUGCAACUGGGCUCAAGCAGGGUGAAAACCUUCCAGGAUGGCCAGCAGAGGAGAGCACGCACUCCGUAGUCAAGAGCCAGAGGGGGAGGGACUUCCCUGGUGGCG